UCCAUCUGGGUCUUCAAUGCGUCCAAGGAUGAUGAUGGCACAAAGAGCUACUUUUACCACUGAGCUGUCAGUGCCCCUUUCUGUCAUCUGCUGCCCACCUGGUGAAUAUUAUUCCUCUUCCCUGCCCCAGUGCAGUUGACCCCCAUGUCUUCUAGAUUUCCCUAACUCCUGAAUAUGAAAGAGGCUUUGGCCCUUGCUCAGGAUAACUGUGCAGGCACCUUAUACAAUGACACUGAGCAGAGAGCCCCUAACUGUGCAUUCACUGAGACCUAGAUAGUGUCUCUGUAGAGACACUGUCCUUGACUUAGAAGUGAGAUUUUCAGAGGAAAUCUGGACAGUUCAGCCCAAUAAACCACUGUUCUGCUUUAGGAAACCCCACAGCCAAAUAAAUACAAGAUUUCAAAGACAGAUUUUUUUUUUUUUUUUUUUUUUUUUUUUCAACUGCUGCUUGUGGAUGUUUUAGGAGGCAUUGGAUUGAAAAUAAUGGUUGUGUUACAUGAAACAGUUAAGAGAGUAAUUCUGUAGAGAAGACCAACGUAGAGGAAAGCAAGAUAAACAGGUACCCAGGGAACCAUAGAAUUCAUACUCCACUUCCACCUCUCCCAAGCUUGCCGUUUUCUUCCAAGUUCCCAUAUAACUUACCUCUCUGCAGAUCGCACCACUCCUUGUGUUGGGAAGCACAAGCUAUGUGCAUGCACAUAUAAGGAUGUUUGUAUAGACAUGUAUGUCAGUGUGAACAAAAUGAAAGGUGGUGUCUAUUCUCUUCCUGAAUCUGUAAGUAAUGGACAAACAGACAUCGUUGAAUCACAGCAUAUAGACAGUUUCCUAAUGGAUUGCCUUAAUGUAUCUCCAUAUAAAAACACAGUAAGAUGAAAUCUCUGAUUCAUUCUGCAGGUUUUACCCCUGUUCUUUUACCUUAACUGGCUUUAGAGCUGCUUUUGGUCACUGACUUGGCAUAAGGCAUCUGGAUCCCGCUACUCAGCUAGUUUUGCACUAGUUUGCUGAAGGCAGGAAUGAGUGCUUGGACUGAAAUUGUCUUGAGGUACCUGAGGUACCUCCUUGUUAACAAAGAAGUCAAAACUUGAUCAAGCCUUCCAAACUAGUGCAGAAAGUUCUCACCAAUGUGAAAUUUGCUGAAGGAUUGUAAGUCUAAUUCAAUUAGGCAGCUAAAUGGCAGAAUAAAACACUUCAUCAGGUAUUUUUAUUUAAACA
rnacentral:lncRNA from 1 species